GUCUACAGCCUUGCUACCCUGAACAAGCCCGAUCCCAUCUGAUCUCAGAAGCUGAGCAUGGUCGGGCCUCAUUAAUACUUGGAUGGGAGACCACCUAAGAAGACCAGGUGCUGUAGGUG
rnacentral:rRNA from 1 species